GAUUGAGUUCUGGCAGGGUGGUGAGCAUCGCCUGCAUGACCGCUUUUUGUACCAGCGUGAAAAUGAUGCGUGGAAGAUUGAUCGUCUUGCACCCUGAAAAGAUGCAAAAAUCUUGCUCAACUGUUUAUUAAAAACACAGCACUGUGCAAACACGAAAGUGGACGUAUACGGUGUGACGCCUGCCCGGUGCCGGAAGGUUAAUUGAUGGGGUUAGCGCAAGCGAAGCUCUUGAUCGAAGCCCCGGUAAACGGCGGCCGUAACUAUAACGGUCCUAAGGUAGCGAAAUUCCUUGUCGGGUAAGUUCCGACCUGCACGAAUGGCGUAAUGAUGGCCAGGCUGUCUCCACCCGAGACUCAGUGAAAUUGAACUCGCUGUGAAGAUGCAGUGUACCCGCGGCAAGACGGAAAGACCCCGUGAACCUUUACUAUAGCUUGACACUGAACAUUGAGCCUUGAUGUGUAGGAUAGGUGGGAGGCUUUGAAGUGUGGACGCCAGUCUGCAUGGAGCCGACCUUGAAAUACCACCCUUUAAUGUUUGAUGUUCUAACGUGGACCCGUAAUCCGGGUUGCGGACAGUGUCUGGUGGGUAGUUUGACUGGGGCGGUCUCCUCCUAAAGAGUAACGGAGGAGCACGAAGGUUGGCUAAUCCUGGUCGGACAUCAGGAGGUUAGUGCAAUGGCAUAAGCCAGCUUGACUGCGAGCGUGACGGCGCGAGCAGGUGCGAAAGCAGGUCAUAGUGAUCCGGUGGUUCUGAAUGGAAGGGCCAUCGCUCAACGGAUAAAAGGUACUCCGGGGAUAACAGGCUGAUACCGCCCAAGAGUUCAUAUCGACGGCGGUGUUUGGCACCUCGAUGUCGGCUCAUCACAUCCUGGGGCUGAAGUAGGUCCCAAGGGUAUGGCUGUUCGCCAUUUAAAGUGGUACGCGAGCUGGGUUUAGAACGUCGUGAGACAGUUCGGUCCCUAUCUGCCGUGGGCGCUGGAGAACUGAGGGGGGCUGCUCCUAGUACGAGAGGACCGGAGUGGACGCAUCACUGGUGUUCGGGUUGUCAUGCCAAUGGCACUGCCCGGUAGCUAAAUGCGGAAGAGAUAAGUGCUGAAAGCAUCUAAGCACGAAACUUGCCCCGAGAUGAGUUCUCCCUGACCCUUUAAGGGUCCUGAAGGAACGUUGAAGACGACGACGUUGAUAGGCCGGGUGUGUAAGCGCAGCGAUGCGUUGAGCUAACCGGUACUAAUGAACCGUGAGGCUUAACCUU
rnacentral:rRNA from 1 species